rnacentral:rRNA from 1 species
UUGGUUAAGUUAGAAAGGGCGCACGGUGGAUGCCUUGGCACUAGGAGCCGAAGAAGGACGGGACUAACACCGAUAUGCUUUGGGGAGCUGUACGUAAGCGUUGAUCCAGAGAUUUCCGAAUGGGGGAACCCACUAUCUUUAGUCGGAUAGUAUCCUUACGUGAAUACAUAGCGUGAGGAAGGCAGACCCAGGGAACUGAAACAUCUAAGUACCUGGAGGAAGAGAAAGAAAAAUCGAUUUCCUGAGUAGCGGCGAGCGAAACGGAAAGAGCCCAAACCAAGAAGCUUGCUUCUUGGGGUUGUAGGACACUCUAUACGGAGUUACAAAAGAAAGUUAUAAAUGAAGCGGUCUGGAAAGGCCCGCCAAAGACGGUAACAGCCCGGUAGUUGAAAUGGCUUUCCCUCCAGAGUGGAUCCUGAGUACGGCGGAACACGUGAAAUUCCGUCGGAAUCCGGGAGGACCAUCUCCCAAGGCUAAAUACUCCCUAGUGACCGAUAGUGAACCAGUACCGUGAGGGAAAGGUGAAAAGCACCCCGGAAGGGGAGUGAAACAGUUCCUGAAACCGUGUGCCUACAAGUAGUUAGAGCCCGUUAAUGGGUGAUAGCGUGCCUUUUGUAGAAUGAACCGGCGAGUUACGAUUUGUUGCAAGGUUAAGCGGAAAAAGCGGAGCCGUAGCGAAAGCGAGUCUGAAUAGGGCGCAUAAGUAACAGGUCGUAGACCCGAAACCAGGUGAUCUACCCAUGUCCAGGAUGAAGGUAAGGUAAUACUUACUGGAGGUCCGAACCCACGCACGUUGAAAAGUGCGGGGAUGAGGUGUGGGUAGCGGAGAAAUUCCAAUCGAACUUGGAGAUAGCUGGUUCUCUCCGAAAUAGCUUUAGGGCUAGCCUCGAGGUAAAGAGUCAUGGAGGUAGAGCACUGUUUGGACUAGGGGCCCUUCUCGGGUUACCGAAUUCAGAUAAACUCCGAAUGCCAUGUACUUAUACUCGGGAGUCAGACUGCGAGUGAUAAGAUCCGUAGUCGAAAGGGAAACAGCCCAGACCACCAGUUAAGGUCCCCAAAUAUAUGUUAAGUGGAAAAGGAUGUGGGGUUGCUUAGACAACCAGGAUGUUGGCUUAGAAGCAGCCACCAUUGAAAGAGUGCGUAAUAGCUCACUGGUCGAGUGACCCCGCGCCGAAAAUGUACCGGGGCUAAACAUAUUACCGAAACUGUGGAUGAACCUCUUUAGAGGUUCGUGGUAGGAGAGCGUUCUAAGGGCGGUGAAGUCAGACCGGAAGGACUGGUGGAGCGCUUAGAAGUGAGAAUGCCGGUAUGAGUAGCGAAAGAAGGGUGAGAAUCCCUUCCACCGAAUAUCUAAGGUUUCCUGAGGAAGGCUCGUCCGCUCAGGGUUAGUCGGGACCUAAGCCGAGGCCGAUAGGCGUAGGCGAUGGACAACAGGUAGAGAUUCCUGUACCAGUGCUAAUUGUUUAACCGAUGGGGUGACACAGAAGGAUAGGGAAUCGCACGAAUGGAAAUGUGCGUCCAAGCAGUGAGUGUGAGAAGUAGGCAAAUCCGCUUCUCGCGAAGCAUGAGCUGUGAUGGGGAAGGAAAUUAAGUACGGAAGUUCCUGAUUUCACGCUGUCAAGAAAAGCCUCUAGGAAGAGUAGUACUGCCCGUACCGCAAACCGACACAGGUAGAUGAGGAGAGAAUCCUAAGGUGAGCGAGAGAACUCUCGUUAAGGAACUCGGCAAAAUGACCCCGUAACUUCGGGAGAAGGGGUGCUCUAUUAGGGUGCAAGCCCGAGAGAGCCGCAGUGAAUAGGCCCAGGCGACUGUUUAGCAAAAACACAGGUCUCUGCAAAACCGUAAGGUGACGUAUAGGGGCUGACGCCUGCCCGGUGCUGGAAGGUUAAGAGGAGUGCUUAGCUUCGGCGAAGGUACGAAUUGAAGCCCCAGUAAACGGCGGCCGUAACUAUAACGGUCCUAAGGUAGCGAAAUUCCUUGUCGGGUAAGUUCCGACCCGCACGAAAGGCGCAACGAUCUGGGCACUGUCUCAACGAGAGACUCGGUGAAAUUAUAGUACCUGUGAAGAUGCAGGUUACCCGCGACAGGACGGAAAGACCCCGUGGAGCUUUACUGCAACCUGAUAUGGAAUGUUUGUACCGCUUGUACAGGAUAGGUAGGAGCCGAAGAGACGUGUGCGCUAGCAUACGAGGAGGCAAUGGUGGGAUACUACCCUGGCUGUAUGACCAUUCUAACCCGCCACGCUUAGCGCGUGGGGAGACAGUGUCAGGUGGGCAGUUUGACUGGGGCGGU